AUGCAGACACACACACUCAUUCCGACAUCUGGCCAUUUCACAACAACUGGAUGACAGAAGCUCGACACUACAGUUACGUAAAAAAUUAUAGAAUGUGUUUUUUCUCACUUAAUGCCCAUAUCACAGCAUCCAAUCAUGAACUAGAGUAAUGAAAUUUUGUAGUAUUUUCACAAGAUGCUUUAUUCAAAUGUCAUGCACUUGAGCAGUUUAUGAAAAUUUUGAGGUUUUACCGAGGGACAAGUGCACAAGGUAUUCACUCUACUGCAGCUUAUUAUCUCUGUAUCGCAUCUAGAAUUCAUGUCACUAAAAUAAAUGCUUCUCUUCUUCUAUUUCAAUGUCUUGCAAUCGUGAAGUUUGUGAAAAUUUUGAGGUUUUACCGAGGGACAAGUGCACAAGGUAUUCACUCUACUGCAGCUUAUUAUCUCUGUAUUGCAUCUAGAAUUCAUGUCACUAAAAUAAAUGCUUCUCUUCUUCUAUUUCAAUGUCUUGCAAUCGCGAAGUUUGUGAAAAUUUUGAGGUUUUACCGAGGGACAAAUGCAAAAGGUAUUCACUCCUCUACCGCAGCUUAUUAACCCUGCAUCAUGUCUAAAAUUCAGGUUAAGUCACUAAAAUCAACGCUCUUCCUCUCCUAUCAAAACAUCAUGCACUUAUGGAAAUUUUGAGGUUUUACAGAGGCACAAAUUCAAGAGGUAUUCACUCCUCUACCACAGCUUACUGACUCUGCCUCAUGUCUAGAAUGCAUCAUAAGGUUAAGUCAGCAAAAUCAAUGCUCUUCCUCUUCCAUUUAAAGAUCAAGCACUUGCAUAGUUUAUGGAAAUUUUGGGGGGGUUACAGAAGGGCAAAUGUAAGAGGUAUUCACUCCUCUACCGCAGCUUAUUCACUCUGCCUCGUGUCUAGAAUGCAUCAUAAGGUUAAGUCACUAAAAUCAAUGCUCUUCCUCUUCCAUUUAAAGAUCAAGCACUUGCAUAGUUUAUGGAAAUUUUGGGGGGGUUUACAGAAGGGCAAAUGCAAGAGGUAUUCACUCCUCUACCGCAGCUUACUGACUCUGCCUCAUGUCUAGAAUGCAUCAUAAGGUUAAGUCACUAAAAUCAAUGCUCUUCCUCUUCCAUUUAAAGAUCAAGCACUUGCAUCGUUUAUGGAAAUUUUUUGGGGGGUUUACAGAAGGGCAAAUGCAAGAGGUGUUCACUCCUCUACCACAGCUUACUGACUCUGCCUCAUGUCUAGAAUGCAUCAUAAGGUUAAGUCACUAAAAUCAAUGCUCCUCCUAUUUAAUCAUCAAGCACUUCUACAGUUUAUGGAAAUUUUGGAGUUUGAUUCUGCCUCAUGUCUAGAGAGCAUCAUAAGGUUAACUCACAAAAAUCAAUGCUCUUCCUCUAUAAACAUCAAGCACUUCUACAAUUUAUGGAAAUUUUGGAGUUUGAUUCUGCCUCAUGUCUAGAGAGCAUCAUAAGGUUAACUCACAAAAAUUGAACUUCUACAAUUUAUGGAAAUUUUGGGGGGUUUUGCAGAAGGACAAAUGCAAGAGGUACUCACUCCUCUACUGCAGCUUAUUCACUCUGCCUCAUGUCAAGAAUGUGUCCCAAGGUUGAGUCACUAAAAUCAAUGCUUCUCCUCACUCUUCAGACACAAGUAAUCCAAACCUUGUAUUCUGGCAAGCAUCGGGCUCACUACCCACACUAGUACUACCUCUAUUAGUGAACUUGCAUACCAAACAUCCAAACAACACUACCAAUAAAACAAGAGUGGUGUGCAUGUGUGGCGUGGUGUGUGCAUGUGUGGUGUGUGUGUGUGUGUGUAUACUUGCAUGCUCAAACCACAUAUGUCACACAAGAGAUACAAAUGCCCUAUGCUGUUGUUUCUUGGGUUGUUGUUCUGGGGUUGGAAAAAGCAUUCAUCUAUCACAAAGAAAAGCAUACAAAAGCACUACCAGGCAAUAAAGGUUAGAAGAGAAACACUACUGGAAGAGAAAGCACUGGAAAAAGGAUAAUUCUAUAAGCCACACACACAGACACACACACACUCACACACAGACACACCCGCAACCAUAGCCACACCCCACAGCCUCCAC